UACGGAGGGUCCAAGCGUUAUCCGGAAUCAUUGGGUUUAAAGGGUCCGUAGGCGGUGUUGUAAGUCAGUGGUGAAAGCCCAUCGCUCAACGGUGGAACGGCCAUUGAUACUGCAAGACUUGAAUUAUUGGGAAGUAACUAGAAUAUGUAGUGUAGCGGUGAAAUGCUUAGAGAUUACAUGGAAUACCAAUUGCGAAGGCAGGUUACUACCAAUAUAUUGACGCUGAUGGACGAAAGCGUGGGGAGCGAACAGG
rnacentral:rRNA from 1 species